GAGUAACGCGUAGACAACCUGCCUCUAAACUGGGGACAACACCGCGAAAGUGGUGCUAAUACCGAAUGUGGUAACUUGGCUGCAUGGCUGAGUUAAGAAAGAUGGCCUCUACAUGUAAGCUAUCGUUUAGAGAUGGGUCUGCGUCUGAUUAGCUAGUUGGUGAGGUAAAGGCUCACCAAGGCGACGAUCAGUAGCCGGUCUGAGAGGAUGAACGGCCACACUGGGACUGAGACACGGCCCAGACUCCUACGGGAGGCAGCAGUGGGGAAUCUUGCGCAAUGGGCGAAAGCCUGACGCAGCAACGCCGCGUGAGCGAAGACGGCCUUCGGGUUGUAAAGCUCUGUCAGGAGGGACGAAGCCACUCGGGUGAACAGCCCAGAGGGUGACGGUACCUCCAGAGGAAGCCCCGGCUAACUACGUGCCAGCAGCCGCGGUAAUACGUAGGGGGCGAGCGUUGUCCGGAAUCAUUGGGCGUAAAGCGCGUGUAGGCGGCCGACCA
rnacentral:rRNA from 1 species